rnacentral:tRNA from 1 species
ACUAUCAAAGGAUAACAGCCUUCCACUAAUUUUAGGAAUUAGCACAUCUUGGUGCAACUCCAAGUGACAGUA